UACGUAGGUGGCAAGCGUUGUCCGGAAUUAUUGGGCGUAAAGCGCGCGCAGGCGGUCCUUUAAGUCUGAUGUGAAAGCCCACGGCUCAACCGUGGAGGGUCAUUGGAAACUGGGAGACUUGAGUGCAGAAGAGGAGAGUGGAAUUCCAAGUGUAGCGGUGAAAUGCGUAGAGAUUUGGAGGAACACCAGUGGCGAAGGCGGCUUUCUGGGCUGUAACUGACACUGAGGCGCGAAAGCGUGGGGAGCAAACAGG
rnacentral:rRNA from 1 species